rnacentral:rRNA from 1 species
CCUACGGGUGGCAGCAGUGAGGAAUAUUGGUCAAUGGGCGCGAGCCUGAACCAGCCAAGUAGCGUGAAGGAUGACUGCCCUACGGGUUGUAAACUUCUUUUAUAAAGGACUAAAGUGAGGCACGUGUGCCUUUUUGUAUGUACUUUAUGAAUAAGGAUCGGCUACCUCCGUGCCAGCAGCCGCGGUAAUACGGAGGAUCCGAGCGUUAUCCGGAUUUAUUGGGUUUAAAGGGUGCGUAGAUGGGUUGUUAAGUCAGUUGUGAAAGUUUGCGGCUAAACGGUAAAAUUGCAAUUGAUACUGGCAGCCUUGAGUACAGUUGAGGUAGGCGGAAUGCGUGGUGUAGCGGUGAAAUGCAUAGAUAUCACGAAGAACUCCGAUUGCGAAGGCAGCUUACUAAACUGCCACUGACAUUGAUGCACGAAAGUGUGGGUAUCAAACAGGAUUAGAUACCCUUGUAGUC